CGACCCCGAGUCGCCAAAAAUUCAACUCUCUCUCUGUCUCUCUGUAUGUGCGUCUUUUUCCAAAGGCGAAAGCCAAAGGCGGUUUAGUUUAUGGGAAAACCUCUGACCAAAGCCGCAGCGACAGCUACGCUACGACAGCUCGGUGGCAUAACAGCGCAGCUUAUCAGUAGUCCUACUAAACCCAUAUCGCCGGCGGAUACUGCCAGGACCGGCUGCGGCCAAGUGGAGCGGCGGAAUUUGAAGAAGAGGAAGAUGGAGAACAACUGCGGCGGCGGCGGCGGAAGCGGAAGCAGCAGCAACAGCAGCAACCAGUUAGGGCGGACGCCGCUGUCAGGGGUAGUGUCGGAUUGCGUGAAGCGGUGGUUCCAGGACACGCUCAAGGAGGCUAAAGCCGGAGACGUCUCGAUGCAGGUCUUGGUCGGCCAGAUGUAUUACAACGGCUACGGCGUCGCCAAGGAUGCCCAGAAGGGAAGGAUUUGGAUGACGAGAGCUUCGAGAGUCCGAUCUUCAGUUUGGAAAGUGAGCAAUAAACGCCCAGGUUACAAUGCAAGUGAUUCUGAUUCAGAUGAGCUAAAUGGCAACUCCUGACUAGACCAGCUUGGCGUUUCCAACCAGUGCAUUUGAAAUCAUCAUUUGCUGAGGGCAUAAAGUUGCUGCUGUUACAGUAUCCCAGCAUCUCAGAUAUCAAUAGCUGACAACUACAGAAACUACAGAAUCAAUAGUCAACAACUACUGAAUACACAAACAAUCUCCCUUCGCCAUCAGCUGACUACUUUAUCAAAUGUAUCAACGUAGAGAAAAUAGGUACCUACAGCAGAGGUGCAGCACCAGCAACCGUCUCCUUGUUCAGGUUCAUCAUCCAUUCUCUUAAUCACAGCUUCACAAGAAGUACAGGGUCAGCAAAACAGUUAUAACUAGGUUUCACUGGUGUUUUCUUGCUUUGACCAAAUGUUUUCCAGUCCUCUUAUUCACCAGAUGAUGUUGAUGCAGAGGACACAUACACGCAGGGCUCCUUUUCUUGUGAUUGUGAGGAGAAAGAUGCUGAAGAAAAGGGCCGUUGGCUUUCUACAUGUUUGCUUCGAUAGAUUUGCCCAUGAAAAUAUCACCAGCUUCUGUAAAAGUUCUUUUUGUUUUUGUGCACAGAUAAAAUUGUUUUACUGUUUGUUGCUGUUAAGGAAACAAUUGAACUCUAUGGGCCUGAUUGGUUACAGAUUUGAGUUUUCUGAUUAUCUUUUGUUUGAUGAUUAUUUUGGAAGCAGGAAGCAGACAUUGCUGAGACAUUCUAUCAUUUGCUUUUUUGUAUAUGAGAUCAAUUUUCAGAGUUUGUAAAAUUACCUUUUUAUUGUUUCUUAAA